AAAAACCCAGGUGGUGUGAGAUGGAUCCGCGUCUGAUUAGCCAGUUGGCGGGGUAACGGCCCACCAAAGCGACGAUCAGUAGCCGACCUGAGAGGGUGACCGGCCACAUUGGGACUGAGACACGGCCCAAACUCCUACGGGAGGCAGCAGUGGGGAAUAUUGCACAAUGGGCGAAAGCCUGAUGCAGCGACGCCGCGUGAGUGAAGAAGUAUCUCGGUAUGUAAAGCUCUAUCAGCAGGGAAGAAAAUGACGGUACCUGACUAAGAAGCCCCGGCUAACUACGUGCCAGCAGCCGCGGUAAUACGUAGGGGGCAAGCGUUAUCCGGAUUUACUGGGUGUAAAGGGAGCGUAGACGGCGACGCAAGUCUGGAGUGAAAGCCCGGGGCCCAACCCCGGGACUGCUUUGGAAACUGUGCUGCUGGAGUGCAGGAGAGGUAAGUGGAAUUCCUAGUGUAGCGGUGAAAUGCGUAGAUAUUAGGAGGAACACCAGUGGCGAAGGCGGCUUACUGGACUGUAACUGACGUUGAGGCUCGAAAGCGUGGGGAGCAAACAGGAUUAGAUACCCUGGUAGUCCACGCCGUAAGCGAUGAAUGCUAGGUGUCGGGGGGCAAAGC
rnacentral:rRNA from 1 species